CUGCGAACGCAUCAUUUUCGAUCAGAGGGCUUCAGGCACAGUCCACAUCGCCCGAGAAGGAGCAUACAUGCUCGAGUGACAGAGGAAAAGCCCAAUCUGGUCGAGGUUCCUGAAAGUGAACCCGAUUCAUCAUCGUCUCUAAGAAAACGCAAAGUGAAGAAGAGAGUCCUGCCAGAAUUUUACCAGUCUGUACAAGUCACCCCUACACGUAAACCUGUAGGUACCCCACUUCACUGUUACCAUUAAGAGUAAUGAUAAAACAAUACGCUGGAUUUGCUUGCUCCCCUCAACAGGAACAUCACAAUGUACAUUUGAUUCUGGGAAAGGAGUGCUAACUUGCUCUAGGGCAAAGGGGAGAUGCUUAUUUAAGGAACCUGACACUUGGGUGUGCUGUUGAAUGAUGGGUUUCUUCCCAAGAAAUGAAACGUUGCUGUGCUGGUACUGCAGGGUGUCUUGUUCAGUUUCUAAUCAUCAUAAUCAAGACCAAACAUUUAAAGAUUUUUUUUUUUUUUACUGCCAAUCCGCUACCUGUACAGGACAUAGUGAAGAAUUGAAAUACUGUCUCUCCCUAGUCUUACUAUAAAGAAGAAUUAAGAAAAGAUAAAGGACACUCUAAGGAACUACUGCCACUAUGUAGAAUAGUGUCAGUGGUGCAAGAUAUACAUUAAAUAAAAAAAAAUAAAGUAGCCUUUGAGCUGUACAUGGACAGUAGUGCAAAUAAUCAACAGCAGCAUUUACAUUUAAAAAUUUAAAAAAGAUAUUUACCAACAGAUCCUGUAAUCUUUGCUUUAAAUAUUUUUCCCCAGAAAUUAAAAAGUACAUGAACUCAACAGAAAUAAAGUAUUCUAUGGAUAUGCCCCAUGCCGCGGUGUUUUAAAGGAGCUGCAUCAUUAAAAAGGUUCAGUGGACUCAACAAUCCAAACAUAUUUCACUUAAUUAUAACAAUAAUUAUAGUAAUAAACUCUGGUUUUGCUGCAGCUUGAAGUUCACAAGUGAAUCACCC
ensembl:lncRNA